rnacentral:rRNA from 1 species
AGUGAACGCUGGCGGUAGGCCUAACACAUGCAAGUCGAACGGCAGCACAGUAAGAGCUUGCUCUUACGGGUGGCGAGUGGCGGACGGGAGAGGAAUACAUCGGAAUCUACUUUUUCGUGGGGGAUAACGUAGGGAAACUUACGCUAAUACCGCAUACGACCUACGGGUGAAAGCAGUGGAUCUUCGGACCUUGCGCGAUUGAAUGAGCCGAUGUCGGAUUAGCUAGUUGGCGGGGUAAAGGCCCACCAAGGCGACGAUCCGUAGCUGGUCUGAGAGGAUGGUCAGCCACACUGGAACUGAGACACGGACCAGACUCCUGCGGGAGGCAGCAGUGGGGAAUAUUGGACAAUGGGCGCAAGCCUGAUCCAGCCAUACCGCGUGGGUGAAGAAGGCCUUCGGGUUGUAAAGCCCUUUUGUUGGGAAAGAAAAGCAGCAGGUUAAUACCCCGCUGUUCUGACGGUACCCAAAGAAUAAGCACCGGCUAACUUCGUG